UGAGUCCACAGACUAUAUGAUCUGUCUAUCUGCUUAUGGAGCCGUUAUUGGAGCGUGGUUUGGUGCUUGGCCAAUGGCACUUGAUUGCCAAGGAUUUGAGGUUCUUUGAUAUUUUAGGUUGAAUUUUCUUGAUUUUUUUCAGACAUAGAUGGACAGGAAGUGAUGAAGCUAUUAACGUCAUCCUUAACCAUGACUUUUCAAAAAGUUUGCACUUGCGACACACCAAUUGUUGCAAUGCAUUUGUGGCUGCAGCUUGUUAUGGUAAAUAUAAAGGAGUUACAAAAGAUAAAAUCUGUUACGAAAGAAGGUUGGCAAGUGUUGGAGGGUUCAUUUUGACUAUCAAUAUGCUCGAUCAAGUUAUCUUUUUAUCUCAAGGGACCUUCACCUGGAUCUGACCUGCUCACAAAAUCAGUGAUCACCACUUGCCCCACCCAACUGAUUAUGAAGAACUGAAGUUGUUGUUGCUCCAAAAAGGCACAAAAUAAAUAUUAGUUCGGGUGAGGAUUCCAUGAUGCAAGACGAUAAGCUUUCAGUCUCAAAGGUACUAUUGAGUCCAAGAUUCUGAUGAUCAGUGUAUUCACAAAUACGAGGAUGCUGGAGUUGAGAUGAGAGUGGUUUUAACCUCUGCUAUCUUCAUUCAUCUUGAGGCAAUCCGUAUAUACUCUUUUGAACCUCUUUAG